rnacentral:rRNA from 1 species
AGAGUUUGAUCCUGGCUCAGAUUGAACGCUGGCGGCAGGCUUAACACAUGCAAGUCGAGCGGUAACAGGAAGGAGCUUGCUUCUUUGCUGACGAGCGGCGGACGGGUGAGUAAUGCCUGGGAAUCUGCCUGAUAGUGGGGGAUAACUUGCCGAAAGGUAAGCUAAUACCGCAUACGUCCUACGGGAGAAAGCAGGGGAUCUUCGGACCUUGCGCUAUCAGAUGAGCCCAGGCCGGAUUAGCUAGUUGGUGGGGUAAUGGCCCACCAAGGCGACGAUCCGUAGCUGGUCUGAGAGGAUGAUCAGCCACACCGGGACUGAGACACGGCCCGGACUCCUACGGGAGGCAGCAGUGGGGAAUAUUGGACAAUGGGGGGAACCCUGAUCCAGCCAUGCCGCGUGUGUGAAGAAGGUCUUCGGAUUGUAAAGCACUUUAAGUUGGGAGGAAGGGCUUUAGGUUAAUACCCUGAAGUUUUGACGUUACCAACAGAAUAAGCACCGGCUAACUUCGUGCCAGCAGCCGCGGUAAUACGAAGGGUGCAAGCGUUAAUCGGAAUUACUGGGCGUAAAGCGCGCGUAGGUGGUUUGUUAAGUUGGAAGUGAAAGCCCCGGGCUUAACCUGGGAAUGGCUUUCAAAACUGGCGAGCUAGAGUACGGUAGAGGGUAGUGGAAUUUCCUGUGUAGCGGUGAAAUGCGUAGAUAUAGGAAGGAACAUCAGUGGCGAAGGCGACUACCUGGACUGAUACUGACACUGAGGUGCGAAAGCGUGGGGAGCAAACAGGAUUAGAUACCCUGGUAGUCCACGCCGUAAACGAUGUCAACUAGUUGUUGGGGGCCUUGUGUCCUUAGUAACGCAGCUAACGCGUUAAGUUGACCGCCUGGGGAGUACGGCCGCAAGGUUAAAACUUAAUGAAUUGACGG